AUGAGGCUUCCUCAGAGAUGGAAGAAGGUAAUAGAGCAAAAGGGUUCUUAUAUAACAAAAUAAAUAAUAUCUUAAACGGUAAACAUUGUAUAUUCAUUUUAUAUUAGAAAAAGGAAAGAAACUUAUGGGACACCCUAAUAUAUGAAAUAAAAAUAAUAUAUAGAUAAUAACAAUCAAUAUAUUGGUAAUUCAAAAAUGCGAAAAAUCUAAUACGUAAAAGUAUAUACAUAUAUGUAUCGCUUAUACAUAAGAUAGAUCUUCAAGGAAGUUCAAAGAUAAGAGAGAUAAAAGAAAAAAGAGGGUAAAAGAAAAUAGUUGAGGAUAGGAAAAGGGGAAAAACAGGGUAGCUUGAUGGUGCUUGCAAGGAACGCAACGAGAAGAGAGGCGUUUACGCUUGAGACGAAAAGUCGCGAUUGCGAAUCGCAGAAUCUUGUGCUUUCGUAGUGCUUUUAACGAAGAGGAAUGGAAAGUGAGAAAGAAAAAGAGAGAGCACCCAAGGGAGAGAGAGAGAGAGAAAGAGAAAGAGAGAGAGAGAGAGAGAGAGAAGAAAGAGGAAGAGAGAGAAAGAGAGAGAGAGCAGUGCGGCAUGUUGAUUAAGGGUACAUAAAAGCUUUCCGCCGUAAAUUCUCGUAGAAUAUGGCGCCCGUCAUUUCUGCGGUUCGCAAUAGCGAGAAAUCUUUCUUCCACGUUCCCGUCGUUUUAAGAGUUUCCAUCCGAGCGUGCCGAUGCUGCUCAAAAUCGUCAUGAACACCUAUAUGAAGACUCAAAGCUACGAAAAGUUACUUUCGCUCCUCUUCUCUCAAUAUGUACAUAAGUAAACACGUAAGUACGUACGUAUGUAUAUAGAAAAAGUACGUCACGUUGAUCACAUUACGAUACUUGACUUUCGAAGGAUCAUUCAUCAUUUAUCUUUUCCUUUGACAAAAAUAGUUAAAAGGUCGUAACGAUAAAUAUAUUGUAAAAAUAAUGUAAGAUUUAUUUUCCUUAUCAAUAAUUUUGAUCAAUAAAGUACGAAAUAUUUUAAUAUUUUAAUAUUUAAAAAUAUUGAAAUAAAAAUAUAAUGAAAUAUAUAUUAGAUAGGUAGUCUGACUAAAAUUCUAAAUGAUCGUUCGUCUUAGAGUAUAAAGAAUCUUUUGUUUCUGUUAAAAAAAAUUCAAUCGAAUAUAAGUUUUUUUAACUGGAAAAAUAUUCGUUUGAAAAGAAAAUCGUAAUAUCCGUGAGAUUGACUUAAGAGCUCGAUAUUGCUCAUUUAACGAAGAAACACCUGGCCUAAGAUGGUCUGGGUUGUCUUGCCGGCCGUUCGACCGGAUGGACGGCGAUUAAUUUCGCGAGUGGAAAACUCUUGUCUUCAAAGGAGCUUAGGAGAUGGAAACACCGAUGGCCGGGAAAAUGAAAUCCCGCAGGCCAGGAAGUACGUCGAAAAGCUUUAAAAGGCGUACCAGGAUUGUCGGUUGAAGGACGAAGACUAUGAACGAAGGAACGAACGAACGAACGAACGAAUGACGGAACGAAUGAACGAACGAACGAACGAAGCAAGUGGAGAAGCAAAAAGAAACGAGAUAGAAGAAGCAGAGAGGGAAGAAAGGACGGUAAGAAAUCGCUUUAUGAACGCGCUGACGAGCGCGGAUUGUUACCCGGAGACUAUCUUUAUCUCUCUUCUCUUUUCUUGAACCCUGCGGCUUCAACUUCGAACACUACCGAACGCCGGUAGAAGCAAAUUGGAGGAAAACGUUAUUGCUCAUAACGGAAGCUUCUUGUCCUCGAAGACUAUAACGAAGAUUGGAAGAAUAUGAAGAGGAAGAGAAGAAAAAGUCUUCUAUAUUUUCUCAACUCUCUAAAUUAGAAAGAUAGAAUACCGAGCAUGCAAAAAGUAAAAGGCUUUGGUGUGAUUCUACAACUGAAACAGCUUUAAAUUACUUUGCCAAGUAAUUACAUUGAAAUGAAAAGUACGUAAGGGUAGAGAUUAGAAUGUCGACGUGCCACCACGAUGACGAUGAUUAUCCUUUCUUCCGUUACACUUUUUAAUUAGCUUUAUAAUUAAGACAACCAACUGGAAGCUUUCUAAUAUCGUCCUCUUUCUCUCUCUCUUUCUCUUUCUCUCUCUCUCUCUCUUUCUCUAUCUAUCUAUCUAUCUAUCUAUCUAUCUAUCUAUCUUUCUUUAUUUUUCUCUUUAUCUUUUUCGAUAUUCCAUUGGAGAUCAAAGCAAAGUAUAAAAUCAAGCAAAUCUAUUGAAAAUAGUGUAGUAAAUCUUGAAGAAUGUAGAACGUUAAAGCUUCCAGAGUACUCUACGGCUUUAAUGUCAACCUCUUUUGGAAAAUGGCGAAGCUGCGGCGUACCGAAUAACCUUCGUGAAAUCUUUUCAGAAAGAGAAAAGAGAUUUCGUUAAAUCGUUUACGAAUUUAUUCUGAUUUUUGUAAAACUCGAAUACGACCUUUCCAAAACUAAUAAAGUUUUUACGCUAGAAUGCCGGUUUUCAUCUAAGCUUAUUUCCUUUCUCUCUAUUCUUUUCUGCGCUUCUUCUCUAAUCUUUUGUUUUCUUAACCGAAAAGACAUCUUAUGCGAAAAGCAUGGUUAUUCUAUAAAUUUUCCUAAGUUAUCCCAGCCAUAAAUUAUCAAUUUAUCACAUUGAUAUCGUCGAUAACGGCGAGAUAAAAGAUGAGAAAGGAAAAUAUAUUCACAGAAUGCUUUCUCUUCGAUAGAUAUUUGUAUUUUUCUUAUCGAUACGCGUCAAGGUUUCGAUAGGGUGGAAAAGAAAAAUGCAGAACAUAUAUAGAUAGACACGAAUGUAUCGGUAUCACGCGAACGUGCUAACGGCUUCACCGCUGUUAGAAUUCGAAGCGACGCAGCUGUAAUUUUGGUUAACGUUAGCAGAAAUUCUCGCAGCUCUAUGCAAACCGAUAUUGUCGUUUUAACGAACAUCACGAUGCCCAUGCAGGAUAGAUGUACGCUUGUGUUGCUAACAGCACUACCGAGGAUUAUUAUCCAGUACGGUUUGUCCUCGACAGUGCGAGCGAUAAAAGUGGAACUUUUAUCGUGCAAAAUACGACAGUGAUUAUAGAAAAAGCCAACUUUUAAUAUUUCAACGGUUACAUCAUUUGAUAUGAAAAAUAUAUCGAGAAUUACUCGGCCGAUAUUAAAAUGUUUUUCGAAGCGUUUUCGAAUUGAUUUGCAAUUUUAAAAAAAAUCGAUCGUUAAUGGACACGUUUAUCGCUAAAUUCGAAGCUAAUUGAAACGAAACGAUACUACGUUAAUGACUGUUCUCAAUGUAAAAUCAAUGGGAAAAUAAAGGUCAACCGAUUAGAAACUGUCAUGGCUCGUGUAAAAUAUAUUUUAUUAUUUAUAUAGAUUAUGAUGACAAAAUAAAUCAGAAGAAUAAAAGUUCCUUUUUUUCUUCGUAUUAUUCGUUCCUUUGUUCUUUUUCUUUAAAACUUCAUCUACGCAUUAUGUAUUCGAAUCGCAAUCUACUUAUAAAGUUAAUUAUCAUUUUUAUUAAUGAAAUUACUACUUAAUUACAUACGAAAUCAAUUAAUGAAUUUAAUAAAAUAUAUUUGAUUAAUGUUACGAAGUCCCUUGAAAGAUCAUUGAAGUACUUGAAGUGAGUCAGUUAGCCUUCGAACCUUGCGACCUGAGAUGCACAGGACAUGGCGCAUCGUAGCGUCCCACGUGCGUCAAGCUUCCGGUUCUAAGUUAAUCCUAACUUAGUCUUAACUUUCUUCUUAGAAGCUAGACUUGGAUGAACGCUCGCAUGGUAAUGCAAUGAUUAAUCUUUCCUCGGUUAUAAGUUAGGAGCAAGUUCGAAGUAAGUUACGGCUCUGCAGCAUUAAUUUAGCAAAGCGCGUAUCGAUUAACACUAAUGUAUUCGAUCUAAACGUUUAUAUGAUAAACGAACGAAAGAAAUUAAAAAGAAUGAAUAAUCACGUUCUUUUAUCGAUUAAUACACUAAUCCCAAAAGACAUUAGCCUAUUAUAUUGGCUAGUUAAAUUGAGUACUCGAAUAACUUGAUUACGGAAGCAUCGUCGUCAUAAUUAAUUCGAAUAGAAAAAAAACAUUUAAUAGUAAAAGGAUCUAAUGAUUUCAGAUAAACUUAUUAAUUUUCUUUGUCUUUUUUUAAAUGUCUUUCAUUAUAUAAGAAUAUUAAAGUGUAACGAAACAGAUUCUUCUUAAGUCACAAAACGAUUUCAAAUACUUUCUAAACUUUGUUAUUCCAACGAAUUUAUCGAUCGAUAACAGGAAGAAAAGUCACUAGUAGAAUUGAUAGGAAGUAAAUGGAUAAAUAAAAAAUGGAUUUUAAAAGAUAUAAAGACUAAUGAUACUUUUGCAAUUUGAUUACAUUUGAUUAAUUAACAUCUUAUAGCUCGUUAGAGGAACAACAUUUCAUCGAUAAUAAAAUUAUCUUUUAUCGGUGAUAAGUAAGAUGAGAGAUAUUAUUUUCGUUGUCAGACAUUCCAGGAUGGAAAUAUUUUUUUUUCAUAUUUCCAAAUACGAUCGAGAAACAAUCUUCAUUUAUUCUUUUGUUAUCUCUUAGUAGAUUCAGUGAGUAUGUUUACAUCUCUCACCAUGAGACGUCUGUAACUUGGCAUGCAACGGAGUAAUUCCGUUUAAUCGCUCGCACUCCCCAUCCCUGUCCCUCCCACUUUUCUACACCAUUACUACAUGUUGCGAAGCGAGUACACGGUUCCGCUUAAUUAAAUACUUCAAGUUUAAUUAAACAGUACUCAUAAGAGAAAACAGUGCACGCGGGAUAAAUAGAAUAUGUUCAACCGCAUGAAACAAUAUAUGUAAUUAACCGAAGAUAUUGCAAGCACGGUGUUGCGUAAAUAAUAGUAUCGCGUCAAGUAACAGCUAUUUAUUUCGCUUAUCGCUUAAUUAACUAUUCCCGAUCGGCGGCUGCAAUGCUAUUAGUACGAUUUAUGUUCGGCCACUAUCACUUUGUACGUAAAUAUACCCUAAUACCAAUACAUACGGAUUUCACCGUGGCAUUAUGUCACUUAUCGAAUACGAUUAACGUUGUUGGAUUAAACGUAAAUCACGAAAUCUUUUUCAUAGAAAAUCAUUAUUUUUCGUAGACAAUAUGUUGAAACAUAAUAGUUAUACGUGAUAAUGUUCUAUACACGUAGUAUAAAUCAGCGAAGCGAAUAAAACAAUAAAAAUGGUCGAUGCCCUAGAGUAUAUCGAAUACGAAAUACGUUAGCCCAUCCAGCCGAUAUCCCCGGAGCCACAUUAAUUUGCCGAAGUUACAUUAUUUUGGGAGAACGGCUCGCGUACGCGUUCUGAAUUUAUCGGUUAGUUAACGCCGUGCAGGAUUUCAUAGAGAAGCCGCUUGGAUAACCGUAUAAGAUACUCAAUCGAUUAUAUCUCGUUGUUGAUUGAUCCUACAGGUGAUUCAAAACUAAUUCUUGUAUUAUAAUUCAAACUUCUACAUAUAUGUAUAUAUAUAUAUAUAUAUAUAUAUAUAUAUAUAUAUAUGUA